GACGAACCGUGCGAACGUUGUUCGGAAUCACUGGGCUUAAAGGGCGCGUAGGCGGGCCGGACGGUCCGAGGUGAAAUCCCCCCGCUCAACGGGGGAACGGCCUCGGAUACCGCCGGCCUCGAGGGGGGUAGGGGCAAGCGGAACGCUGGGUGGAGCGGUGAAAUGCGUUGAUAUCCAGCGGAACUCCGGUGGCGAAGGCGGCUUGCUGGACCCCUUCUGACGCUGAGGCGCGAAAGCCAGGGGAGCGAACGGG
rnacentral:rRNA from 1 species